AGCAAUAUAAUCUAACUUGGUGACUUGCUAUGUGCUUUUAUUCAGUGGCAUUCUGACAUCACACUUCUGACAGUGAAAUUACAGUGCAGCACCUAAUACUUGUAUGAUAAGCUAGGUUAGUUCAAAAUCUGGGUCUGGGGUUAGAUCUGUAAUUUGUUAGUAAGAACUCAGUGUUGUAGUUCUCAAAAGUGCAAACUUGAAUCCUUGUGUCUUGACUCAGUUUUGUGGUUUUCUUUAGUUACAUUGUAACUGAAGAGAAAACAGCAACGCAGCUGGUUGGUGGGUGAGGGAACCAAACCAUACUGACCUGGGUGCUCAGAGUACCUUGGCGAAGACUGUAGCAUGCGGAAAUUACUCUCCUUAGUAGCAAACAUGACCUCUUCAUCGGUCAGCAAUGUCUAAUUUCAUUACGCAAUCUCGAUAGCACUGCAAGUUGAGUGAAAUAGGACUAAAUGACAUGGGGUGGUGGAUUUUUUUCUGGGUUUUCUUUUUGUAAUGUGAUCAAAAAUUUCCAGGUUUGGGCUUCAUGGGAAGACUUGUUACUAACUUGGGCUUAGAUGGGAAUCUUAUGAAUAGUUCAAGUUCUGUGGCUUGUCUGAAUAUGUUUAUACUCCAGACUUGGGGGACACUAGUGCGAAACAGUGGCUUAACAUGUUGGGAAUCAUUCCCCACCAUAAGACUUCGUCGUCUUCUGUAGAGUGAGUGCAUUGUUCAGAGUAGCUCUUUGAACUUCCCUAGCUUUAGGGAUGUGAUUGAUUAUAGUCCAAAAUGUUUAAUAAUCACAGGAAUACGUAAGUCUUCAAAGCACCUUCCUUGUUGCUUAGGACUUGAACUUUCUAUCAACUGUUGUUCCAGACCUCAAUUCAGUUAGCCUUGGUAUUUAACUAGCAUGCAUGAGAAAACAGCUACCACUUGUAAUGCUUUCUGCUCUAUAACUGGAAGGUUUGGUUCAUUUUUGCAUACGUACCGCUGAAAGCUUCAGGACUGUGAGAAUUGCCUUUCGAUGAAUCAAGAACAAUGGCUUGCUAUCAGGCUGUCAUGGCGGGGCAGUUACUCUAGCAAGCAAUUGUGAUUGCUGAUGGGUGAAAGCAAUAUGGUGACUUAGCUUCUUCUACAAUGUAGAUCAAACAAUGUGACAUGAGUAUCACUAACCUCCCUGAAACCCUGCUGGGGGCAUUGAAGUGUCAUAGUCUAUUAAAUCGGUAGCACGUGCUUGUUACCGUGGCUCAGUGAUUUUGAAUGUUAACAAAAGCUCAGGCUUCUGAACAGAAACAAAUUGAAGAGACUAUAUUUGAACACGGACUUGGGAUGGGGUGAUUCCCCCCCCCCCUUCCUUGGUCUGCUUUAAGAUUAGACUUUUGUACAUGCUAGUUAAUUUGAAUGUAGGUGUAAGCUGUGGAUUUUAUAGUAUAUUGGGUUUUUAAAACACUCAAAAACCUGGGAUUUAAAUGGGUUCCAGUAAUACUAUAUACUAAGGUGCUUGCAUUGUAUUUCAUAAAUCUUGUUGCAUCCAAAAUUAUUAUUUUUUUUUUAAUGAAAACUAAGUUCAGAGGUGUGAUGCCAGAAUGUAUUAUCAUACUGUUAGGCCCUUGGAGCAGAUCCCGGUGCUUUCUGAAAGAUGAAAGUAAUGUAAUGGGUACUCUUCAUCCAGGGCUGCUUGCAGCCUAUCAGCAAUGCAUACUCUGACUCUCCCUAAUGAAGAGAUGCGUGUGAUUAGUUUUGGUCUUUAACCUUAAUGGGGGUGCAUGUCUCCUAUUGUUAAUCAUUGUCAGCUGCAGUGACAGGAUCCACAGUCCUGCAUUUACUGCUGCCUUUUGUGUUAAUGAUUUUGGACAGGUUUUAGAGUUCUGGGGUGUUUGUUCUGGCCCUUUUCUUGGUUUUGGCUUUAGCUGAUAAUGUUUAGUGCUGUCUAGCUAGUGCAGUUCUUAAUGGCUCCCCACUAGGGAGAGAAUAUGGAGGAUUUAACUGCUCCUUUUUAUCAUCUGUCAUUGCUGCUAGAUAAUGAUUGGCAAUUUUUUAGACUCAAAUGUGCAGACCUCAACAGCGAUUGGUAAACACCAACCUUAGAAAUGUUUUUGAACACCAGUGCUGGAGAAAAAAAUGAAGGUGAAAUGGGCUCGGACGUAGACUAGGGAUAAUUGGAGAAAGGGGAAAGAAUGCAAAACGAUAUAGUAUCCCUUAUGGAUGGUCCAUGUGCAACAGAGAACUAUUUGUAUACCUGUGGCAGUAAUGAUUCCGGUGGGGGGGCUGGGAGAACAACCUGGAACUUGAAUUUUAAGGAUGAGCUUUGUGUUUCUUGUGCCUGUGCCAGGUAUAUAGUGAAGGCUAAUGACUUCUCCCUUAGAAGAACCUUUUUUUUUUUUCCUUCUCUGCUGUCCCAAUAAUGCAUAGAUGAGGCCUUGGAAGACAAAAAUUGAAGCAAAUACAUAGGAUUGCAGGGUAAAGAACUGCAGUGUUGUGUGCUUGCUGUAGUUAGGGUCAAAGCACUCAGAAUGAAAGUCACUCAAUUGACUGGGGAAGCAGGGAACUUGUAAACUGAUAGCUGCUUUAGUCAGGUAAACGUUGUCACAUACCUUCACAUAAGGGAUAGUAUAUUAUGGGUUGCAAACUUCAUUGUGCUCAGACUGGUGAAUAUAGGAUUUAGGCUUUUGCAUUUUAAAGAAGGUAUUAGGCUUUUGCAUUUUGAAGAAGAUAGUUUUCUUUCUAAUUCUGUCAUCUACUUAUUACUUACAUAAAGAAUAAUUUUAGAUCCCCUGCAUAAAAUUUCUUCCUUUUUUAUUUUUUUUUAAAUGCUAUAACUUAUUCCAGUCUUUAAUCUCUGGAAUUUUGCUCUUUAGAAUUUGGAAGUUAACUAGCAUUUUUCAAGCCUUUAUUACAUACCCUUGUCUUUCAUACUAACUUUUUUUUAUUAUUCUUUAGGUAAGAAUGAUUGAUGUUGGCUGACUUUGGAAUCUUUCUUACUUGAAGUGGAAUUAGAUGUUCUCAAGACAUACAACAUGGGCCAUCCAAGAAGGAAAGCCACAAAUUGCUUAGAUUGACAGACUCUUGGUGAGUGAAAUGACAUUCAAAUUAAUUUGGAGACAAGGCAGGUGCUAUCAGACUUGCUGUAUGAGUUUAAAAGAAUUGACAGGGCUUCAUGAAAAAUGUCAGACAGACACUUAAACCAAGAUAGUGGAGAGACAUUCUGACCCAGCAUUUUAUUUGAAGAUCAUGCUACUACAAAGCUGCCAAUAAUUACCACGUUCCUUGAUUUAACAGGGUAGUGUUAGAGCUUAGUAGGUGACAUUUGAAGUUUUGAUAAGUUGGAUUAACCAUAUUUUUUAAUUGACAGGAUCAAGUGAGCUGUACCAGAAAAUGAGUCAAGACCAAAGAGGAAUGAACUUGACAUUAAUAAAGAUACAUUAUUUUAAAACCUUGAUUGUCUCUGUUCAAGUAGGACUCCUAGGGUUGACUGAUUCUGUCCCCAAAUUUAGUGGUUUUAAAUUUGGUGCCCUAUACGUAAUAUCAUUUGACUGGGGGGGUC
rnacentral:lncRNA from 1 species